AGUGGGAUAGCUAGGUCAAAUGGUGGUUCCAUUCCAAGUUUUCUGAGAAAUCUCCCUACUGCUUUCCAGAGUGGUUGCACCAAAUUUGCAGUCCCAUCAGCAAU
rnacentral:pre_miRNA from 1 species